rnacentral:rRNA from 1 species
UAGUCGUAACUGAAAGGUUGAUCGACCACAGUGGGCCUGAAUAAAGCCCAUGACGAUUGUCACAGCAGUGAGGAAUAUUGGUCAAUAGCCUAACGGCUGAACCAGCAACUUGGAGGAAUGUAUAGCAAUAGCUACUUGCAUCAUUGUAAUAUGAUGCAAGAUCGACUAUGUCGAAUAAAAUUCUAGGUAGAAUUAUGAUAAUGACAUUGUCUGCCUAUGUGUCUUGACCAAAUUACGUGCCAGCAGUCGCGGUAAUACCGUAGAAGACUAGUGUUAUUCAUGUUUAAUCGGUUUAAAGGGUACCUAGACGGUAAAUAAAGCCUAAAAGGAAAGAAAUAAAGGGACUAAUUUACUAGAGUUACUUAUGAGGGGGUAUUAAAGUACUGCUGGUGUAGAGAUGAAUUCUGUCAUACCUCUUUUCAAUAGAAAAAUAACGGCACAGGUAUAGGCGAAGGCAUCCCCUUAUGUGAUAACUGACGUUGAGGGACGAAGGCUUUGUGUAGCGAACAGGAUUAGAUACCCCAGUAGUCAAAGCAGAAAAUGAUGAAUGUCAUAGAUUAGAUGUAUAAGUUUAUUCUAUAAAUGAAAGUGUAAGCAUUCCCCUCAAGAGUAAUUUGGCAACAUUGGAACUGAAAUCAUUAGACCGUUUCUUGAAACAGUAGUGAAGUAUGUUGUU